AACACCCAGCCGGUAAGACAUUCGCAGCUGAAAUCAACGUCAAUUUAUCCCAGCACAAAACUAUUUACUCCAAUCUUACGAGCCCUAACUUUACGCCAAAUUCACAAUCCUUUCCUAUUCUAGGGUUUUAGAUUUUCAAUUUGUUGCUGUUUGUAUGUUAACAUACAAUUGCUUGACAGAAAUUCUUCCUAGGGUUUGGAGAAAACCCUAGAUCGCUUUCAUUUUUCAGCAGUAAUGGGUGCUUUAACGAUUAAUCGGAACAAGCGCGACGCAGAAUUUCAAACUUCAUCACCAUCUGUGUACGGUUACAACUCUCUACACGUUGCGAAGAAACUCAAAUCAUCAUCUUGGUCUUCGCCUCACAUUGCUCCAACGAAAACUUCAAGAAGUUCGGUUUCCAGGCUCAGCCAAUAUCCUAAGCCGGUAACCCCGAUCAAUAGAGAAGUUCAUGCUCCUUGUAUAAUUGUUAGUGGAUUUACUUCUACUGUGAAAAGACUCAAUGGUGGUUCUAGUGGGAUUGUUAGACAAAAAUCUUACAUUUCGGGUGAAAAUAUGAAUGAUCUGUUUUCGAAGUACAAACACGCGAAGGAAUCUGCAAUUGGUGCUUGCAGGCUUGUUGUGUUUGAAAAGCAGGAUAUGACGGAAGUAAUUGAUGUUGAUAAAGAGGAGAAUUUUAAAUAUGACAAGGCUGCUUCUACGAGUUCUAGUGUUGAGGAGGUUGAAAUGGUGAAAGAUGCGAUAAAACACAUUCAUAGUUCAGGGGAGGUACAAGAAAUAGCAGCCAAAUAUUGGGAAUUGGAUCAAAAGACACCCUCAACUUCUUCUGAAGUUGUAUCUGAGUUGACAAAUGGAAAGAUGUUGGAAUCUUUGUCUUUGGACCGGGGUUCAGAUGCUAUGGAUGUAGAUAUGGGUUCCCCUUUGCAUAAGAAGUUGUAUGAAUCUGCUAAAAGGAGUGAUUCUAAAUUGAGGAGGAUAAAUUUUGAUAUCGAGUUACACGAAAAGAGGAGAGCUUUAUAUCAACAAUCACAUCCUGCUAAGAAAAAGGAGGAUUUAAAUGACCCUUUUAGACCUCUUACAGAGGACGAAGAGAAAAUGGUUGAUAAUGCACUGUCUUAUUCUAAUCGGAGGAAGCCUUUUGUCAAUCAUGAAAACUCAAAUAUUACAAUCACAGGGGAAGUUCUGCAAUGUUUGAGACCUAAGGCAUGGUUAAAUGAUGAGGUCAUCAAUGUUUAUCUUGAGUUGCUAAAGGAGAGGGAAACUAGGGAUCCCCAAAAGUUUUUGAAAUGUCAUUUCUUCAACACAUUUUUCUACAAGAAGUUGAUAAGUGGAAGAACAGGGUAUGACUAUAAGUCAGUUAGAAGAUGGACUACACAGAAGAAGUUAGGAUAUGGUCUCCUUGAGUGUGACAAGAUAUUUGUUCCCAUUCAUAAAGAAAUACACUGGUGUUUGGCUGUUAUCAACAAAAAAGAAGAAAAAUUCCAGUAUCUUGACUCACUUGGAGGGGCAGAUAAGAAAGUAAUGAAAAUGUUGGCCACAUACAUCACUGAUGAGGUGAAGGACAAGACUGGAAAAAACAUCGAUGUCAGUUGUUGGAAGCAAGAAUUUGUCACUGAUCUUCCUAAUCAAGAAAACGGUAGUUGGAUUUGUUUGUGGGCAGGUAUGAUUGUGGCAUGUUCAUGAUAAAAUAUGCAGACUUUUAUAGCAGGGACAUUGGAUUGUGCUUCAAUCAGGAGCAUAUGCCAUAUUUUAGAUUGAGAACUGCCAAGGAGAUACUGAGAUUGAGAGCCGAUUGAUAACCACCAGUUAUAGGAGUCUGCAAGGAAGGAUUCAAAUUUACCAAAUUGACCUUGUGAUCCCCAAUCUGAUCAAGUACUUUUUUUUUUUUUUUUUUUUUUUGAGUUAGUAUUGAGAAAGUAGGAAGCCAAUUCACUAAGGGCUUGUUUUUUUUUGGUUUGUUUCAUUUUUUUUUUUUUUUUUAAUGUUAGUAUAUAGUAUAUAUAGUUCUGGUUUUGGUUGGCAUAUAAUCUCUAGAUAUUCAUUUUCCAUAAUAUUGUAUAAUUAGAAGAUAGUUUUGUCA